GCCUGGCCCUAAAUCUUGAUACUUACCCCACCAAAGUAUCCGCCUGAGAACUACGAGCACAAACGCUUAAAACUCUAAGGACUUGGCGGUGCCCCAAACCCACCUAGAGGAGCCUGUUCUAUAAUCGAUAACCCACGCUGCACCCCACCACUUCUUGCACAUAGCAGCCUACAUACCGCCGUCGCCAGCUCACCUCUUCUGAGAGCUUAGCAGUGAGCACAAUAGCUUCCCCCGCUAAAAAGACAGGUCAAGGUAUAGCUCACGAAGUGGAAGAAAUGGGCUACAUUUUCUAGAGUAGAAAACUACACGGAAGGGGGCAUGAAAUGGCCCCCGGAAGGCGGAUUUAGCAGUAAACUGGGACAAUGGAGCCCUGUUUAAGCUGGCCCUGGGGC
rnacentral:rRNA from 1 species